rnacentral:rRNA from 1 species
ACGAAUUCAUGGUCCGGUGAAGUGUUCGGAUCGUAAUGAUGCAAGUGAUCCGCCGCCCGUGACAUCACAAGAAGUCCACUGAACCUUAUCAUUUAGAGGAAGAAGAAGUUGUAACAAGGUUUCCGUAGGUGAACCUACGGAAGGAUCAUU